AACAGUCGACUCACUGUAGUGAAGACACUGCGGUCAUUCAUUACUUUGUUUGUAAAGUGCAUUAGGAAAAUCCAAGAUGGUGCCACUCAUUGAUUGGGUAACAGGAAAAUUAUAAGCCCAAAUUGGCAAAUGAACACGGAUAUGUUCAGUUAAUGUGCUUACAACAUGGAGACCUUAGAUUGUUAACUUUACAAAGGAGGAAUUUUUGAGGAUUCAUUAUUUAUUGAUCAU